UAGGGAAUCUUCCGCAAUGGACGAAAGUCUGACGGAGUAACGCCGCGUGAGCGAAGAAGGUCUUCGGAUCGUAAAGCUCUGUUGUCAGGGAAGAACAAGUACCGUUCGAACAGGGCGGUACCUUGACGGUACCUGACGAGGAAGCCACGGCUAACUACGUGCCAGCAGCCGCGGUAAUACGUAGGUGGCAAGCGUUGUCCGGAAUUAUUGGGCGUAAAGCGCGCGCAGGCGGUUCCUUAAGUCUGAUGUGAAAUCUCGCGGCUCAACCGCGAGCGGCCAUUGGAAACUGGGGAACUUGAGUGCAGGAGAGGGGAGCGGAAUUCCACGUGUAGCGGUGAAAUGCGUAGAGAUGUGGAGGAACACCAGUGGCGAAGGCGGCUCUCUGGCCUGUAACUGACGCUGAGGCGCGAAAGCGUGGGGAGCGAACAGG
rnacentral:rRNA from 1 species